ACAUAGAUGAGUAUGAUAACAUUGCAAAGUGUAUGUUAAAGGUGUUUUGGAAACUAUGGCAGAGUUUGAAGAUAAAAGAAGCCUGGGUGCCCAGUCUACCAUUUAGAGGGGAUCUGGCAUUUAAUCAGGAAGACUUGCCACCCAUACUAGAUCAUUUGUUCCAGAGGCUGGAAAGUCCAAGAUUAGGGUGCAGCGUGAUCAGGUUCCAGUGAGGAGCCUCUUUCUGGCUCACAGAUGGCUGCCAUCUUGCUGUGUCCUCACAUGAAGAGAGAGUGGACUCUGGUCUCCUCCUUGCCUGAUAAGGACUCUAAUCUCCUCACAGGAGCUCCAUCCUCAUUACCUCAUCUAAACCUAAUUAUCCCCGAAGGUCCUACUUCCAAAUACCUUCACCAAAAAUAUUAAGUUUUUAACACAUGAAUUGGGGUGAUAUUCAAUCCUAAGCAAGGAGAAGGGGUUUUGGAAAUUUGCCAGCUUGACUCCUCUUACUACCUUCCUCAUUCCACCCACCCUCUGAGCACAGGUAGGUAACAUGAUGCCCCUUCACCCCUCCAAUGCCUUCAUGUUAGGAAUGCAGAAAACUAGGCUUAGAAGUAUUUUGCUGAUUUCUGAUUAUUAGAAUCAUAGCUUUUUGAUUCAUGGUGGACCUUUCUGUGAGAUUAUUAUGGUAACAGACAAUGAUAGUGUGAUUUAUAGACAUAGGUCUAUAUUUUCCUUUAUAAAUAAUGUCUAAAAAUUGCAUACUACUUGAAACAGAUUAUACGAUAGAGUUCUAUCCUAUCCUGACUUACUGAGGUAUAACUGACAUAAAACAAAUGCAUAACAUAAAAUUGGCAUAAGAUAAAUAUUAAAAUUUACAUUUGAUAAGUUUUCAAGUAAGUUUGUACCCGUGAAAUAAUUAUGAAAAUCAAGAUAAUGAACAUCGUUAUUAGAUCCCAAAUUUUUCUUGUGUUCUUUCAAUCUUCCCCACAACCUUCUCAUCCCAAGUCAACAAUUAUUCUGAUUUCUGCCACCAUAUAUUAGUUUAUAGUAUAGGAACUUAUAUAAAUGGAAUUAUAGAAUAUGUACUGUUUUUCUUUUGUGGUUGCUUUCUCUUAGCAUAAUAAUGUUGAGACUCAUCUAUGAUGUUACACAUAUGAAGUGUUCAUUCAACUGUAUUGCUGAGAACGAUGGCAUUACAUGGUUAUACCACACUUUGUUUAUCCAUUCAUCUGUUGAUGAACAUUGCGUUAUUUUCAGUUUUUGACUAUUAAAAAUAAAGCUGUUUUAAAUAUU